GUGGGGUGAAUGUGCAGGCUCAGCGGAGGAAGGGAAGCUCGGGCAGGGCAGGGCAGGGCAGGGCAGGCGAGGAGCUGCUGCAGUGAGGCCUCAGUGGAGGUCAGCGAAGGGAUGAUGCAGCAGAAAGCUGCGGGGGGAGGAGUUGCCUGGGGAACAGAGCCACAAGGGCUGGAGACAGAGGCAAGGCAGAGGGAAAGCAGUGCCUGGAAGGUUGAGGGAACGAGAACUGGCGGCAGAGGCAGCAGGAGGGAGGAGGUGGCACCUCCUGGGUUCCAGUCUGUGCCUGGUGCCCCUCGCUCUGUCCCUGGGAACCACCGGUAAGGCUCAGCCCCACCCUGUACCACAUGUGCCCAGCACUCCAGCUGUGGGCUCCCUGUGAGAAGAGGAGAACCUUCCCUGGGCCCUGCGGGCACGUUGCUGGCUCCUGGGGAUCUCGUCCCUAACCCCAACCCUUCUCCUUGGAGCUGCUCCCCAGCAGGUGCCCCUCAGCGGUACUGCUGCAGGUGAGGCACGAAGUGGUGCCGAGAGCUUGGGUCGCUGCUGCCCGCCCGAGCAGAGGAACUGAAGCGUUCUGGAGUUCAAAGCUGGUUCUGCAGCUGCCAGAUGUGCGAACAAAGGGCAGCAACUGCUCGGAGCUGUCGAAACGCACAGCAGCCUGAGCUGCUGCUUCUCCUGCCUGACGUUCCUGCGCCCUCACCCCCCUUCCUGCUCCCUGCCCCUGAAGGAUGCCUUGAACCUUUGGGAAACUUCUUUCCCCACCUUUUCUUCCAGCAGGUGACAGAGAAGUCCCAGUGGUGGAGCUGAACCGCGAGCUGCUGGCUGCAGCUCUCCCGAGGCGGGCCGGAGGAGUGCGGGGGGCUGCGGGGGUGUGCAUAUUAAACCCAAAUUCUGCUGUGCUUGGCUA